rnacentral:rRNA from 1 species
GAGAAACGGCUACCACAUCCAAGGAAGGCAGCAGGCGCGCAAAUUACCCAAUCCGGACACCGGGAGGUAGUGACAAGAAAUAGCAAUAGAGGGCCCGAUGGGUUUUCUAAUUGGAAUGAGAACAAGGUAAACAGCUUAUCGAGGAGCCAGCAGAGGGCAAGUCUGGUGCCAGCAGCCGCGGUAAUUCCAGCUCUGUAAGCGUAUACCAAAGUUGUUGCAGUUAAAACGCUCGUAGUCGGAACUUGGCGGGCGACGCAGGGCGUCUUUGCGGACGGAUCUGUAUCGGCCGCCUUUGUGGAGGGGGGCUUAGCGGUGCUUUAUUGCCUUGCUAAGUCGCUGCCACCGUUUACUGUGAAAAAAUUGGAGUGUUCAAAGCAGGCGUUUGCCUUGUACACAUUAGCAUGGAAUAAUAGAAUAGGACCUGGUUCUGUUUUGUUGGUUUGUGAGAAUUAGGUAAUGAUUAAGAGGGACGGUUGGGGGCAUUUGUAUUCUGCCGUCAG